CCAGCGCCCUGGCGCCCCUGCUCCUCCGCGCCCGCCGCGGCGCCCGCAGCCGCUCGGGCCAUUGUUCCGCGGCUGCCAGGGCUGGAGCGGGCUGCCCCUGGGCUUCUGCGCCUCCGUCGUUCCUCUCUGAAGACCUGGCCUCCGCCUCGGAGUGGGAGUGGGUCUGGGAGCUGAGCGCAGAGCUCAGAGCGCCCUCUGUCCCCGCCCGGGCGUCGAGGUCACCCAGCAAGCGCAGAUCGGGCCUCAGGCCAUCGUUUGAGAUCAGGGACCAGGGAAUUAAGUGGACUCUGAGAUCCAUUGCCAUGACAAAAGGGGUAAGAGUCUCAUUGCUUGAGGAAAGAAUACGCCUUAAGUUCACUUUAUGUCUUCUGCCCAUUGCAUGGCAGUUAGGGGAGCUGAAGGAAGAAAGUGAAAGAAAAAGAGACCUCUCAUAACCAAGAGUGUUUGCCGCCACUGGCUUCUCCUUUAAACCAAACUCCAAAUUAAUCUGCUCCAGGAAAUUUUCUGAGCCCAGGCUGAGAGGGUUGAAGGCUCAUGCAUCCUACUGAGACCAAGGAGCUGCACUGGGAUGUUUUUGUAUAUAACACAGAGGUCCCAACACAAAUACAUCAUUUCCACAUUUUAUUUUUGUAUAGAUAGGGUCUCGCUAUAUUGCCCAGGCUGGUCUCGAACUCCUAGCCUCAAGUGAGCCUCCCACCUCGGCCUUCCAAACUGUUGGGACUACAGGUAGUGAGCCGCCAUGUACAACCCAAACCUUUUUUUUUUAAGCAGAUGAUUUCAGCUUUCUCACCAGAACCGAGAAAGUACAACUGCAUGUAUUAGUCUCCCUUGCCUUGCCUUUGGGGAGAAGUUUGUGUGUGUGUGUGUGUGUGUGUGUGUGUGUGUGUGUGUGUGUGUGUUUGUCUUUUGUUGUUGUUGUUUUGGGACGGAGUCGCGCUCUUGCUCUGUUGCCCAGGCUGGAGUGCAAUGGCGUGAUCUCAGCUCGCUGCAACCUCCGUCUCCCGGCUCCAAGCAAUUCUCCUGCCUCAGCCUCCUGAGUAGCUAGGAUUAUAGGCGGGCACCACCACACCCGGCUAAUUUUUGUAUUUUUAGUAGAGACGGGGUUUCAUCAUAUUGGUUAGGCUGGUCUCGAACUCCUCACCUCAUGAUCCACUCGCCUCAGCCUCCCAAAGUGCUGGGAUUACAGGCGUGAGCCACCGCACCUGGCGGUUUUUUUUUUUUCUUUUUGAGAUGGAGUUUCACUUUUGUUGCACAGGCUGGAGUGCAAUGGCACAAUCUCGGUUCACUGUAUCCUCCGCCUCCCGGGUCAAGCGAUUCUCCUGCCUCAGCCACCUGAGCAGCUGGGAUUACAGGUGCCUGCCACCAUGCCUGGCUAAUUUUUUUUUUUUUUUUUUUUGUAUUUUUAGUAGAGAUGGGGUUUCACCAUGUUGGCCAGGCUGGUUUCGAACUCAUGACCUCAGGUGAUCCACUUGCCUCUGCCAAAGUGCUGGGAUUACAGGCGUGAGCCACCACGCCCAGCCUAGAAGGAGGUUUAAGGACUAAGAUAAUGUUCAUAAGGUGGGAGACAGGGAAAGAUGAGAGUGUAGGGAAGUUUAAAUUUUUCCCUUGAAUGUUUGAUAAUUUGAGUCUAUAAAACAAACUGAUUACAUAGAUUAAAGGGAAAAGAGGCCUACGCAUUUUUUUUUUUUUUUUUUUUUUUGAGACGGAGUCUCGCUCUGUCGCUCAGGCUGGAGUGCAGUGGCACGAUCUCAGCUCACUGCAACCUCCACUUCCCGGGUCACGCGAUUCUCCUGCCUCAGCCUCCUGAGUAGCUGGGACUGCAGGUGCACGUCGCCAUGCCUGGCUAAUUUUUUUUUUUUUUUUUUGGUAUUUCUAGUAGAGACAGAGUUUCGCCAUGUUAGGCAGGCUGGUCUUGAACUCCUGACCUCAGGUGAUCCGCCCGCCUCGGCCUCCCAAAGUGCUGGGAUUACAGGUGUGAGCCACUGGGUCCGGUCUCCUACAAAUUUUAUUUGAUGCACGCAUGUGUGUGGGAGUCAUACAAAAUAUAAAAACUCAAAGAAAUGCCCAAUGGUUGCUUUUAUACCACCUUGAGGUUACAGAAAGAAUGAGAGCUUGCAUCUGGGCAAAACAGGUUAUGGUGGCAAGACAGGUUAUGGGAGGGGGAGAAGAAGAGGCCUGGCCAGCAAAGACGGUCUUGGUGAACAAAUGAAAUCUCACAGACAGUAGCCUUUAGAAGGAAUAGGUGGUAAAGGUUUCUGUUAGACCUUUUAAGAUGUCAGACUCUCAGUUAAUCUUUCCUAAAUCUGGACAAGGGAGAGCACCAGAGAAAGCCUUUCUGCAUCGAUGCAGAUUCUCUGCAGAUGCAGAUCUCCCCCACAAAAGACAGCUUUGCAGGCUUUCUGAACAGUCAUCUCAAAAUACAUCAAAUUCAGAAUGAAAAUUUUUGGUGCUCUUCAAGAGCAAUAAAUACUAUGAAAACCCAACUACAGGGGUAGAGUUUUGAUAAUCAAAUAUUUGCCGGUGUCAGUCAUCCAGGAUGAACUAAGAAGUUCAUUUCUAUGAAUGAGUCAUGAAAGCAUCCACAUUUCCCCUUUUUCUAGCCCCUCACCAAACUAUUAUGAUGGCCUUUCUGCAGGCAGUCUGAGAAGGGGCAACCCAGUUGUAAAGAAUAACGUUGAGAAAUUGAUCAUCUCUGGUAGCAUCUGUCACUCCCUUGAAAAUAUCCACCAGGCUAGACAGGUUUCUCCUCCACCUGACCCCUGUAUCUGUAUCAGUCACCAUUACCUGGGAGUACUGGAGACAAUGACAUAUCAAUGGAAUUCUGGAUUAUUGGAUACCAUUAAUCUUCUGUUGGAAGGGGGAACCAGACAGAAGCCAGAAGUUACUUCUGUCUAGACUCCCUCCCAACCUCCCAUGUUUUAUAGCCUCAAAGAAGGCAGUCAGCAUUCUCAGCAUUCUUUUCUUCUUUUUCUUCUUCUCUUCCUCCUUCACCUCCUCCUCCCCUUCUUCCUCCUCCUUUCCCUUCUCCUCCUCCCCUUCCCCCUCCCUCUUCUUCCUUCUUCCUUCUUUCUUCUCCUCCUCCUCUUCAUCCCCUCCCUCCUCCUUUCCCCCUCCUCCUUUUCCUCCUCUUCUCCUCAUCCUCCCUCUCCUCCCCUCCUCUCCUUCCUCACUUCCCUUCUCCUCCUCCCCCUCCCCCUCCCUCCUCUUCUUCCUUCUUCCGUCUUUUCUUCUUCUCCUCCUCCUCCUCUCCGUCCCCUCUCUCCUUUCUCUCCUCCUCCUUUUCCUCCUCUUCUCCUCCUCAUCCUCCCUCUCCUCCCCUCCUCCUCUUCCUCCUCCUCAUCCUCCCUCUCCUCCCCUCCUCCCCUCCUCCUCUUCCUCUUCUCCCCUUCCCUUCCUCCUCCUUCUCUUCCCCCACUUCCUACCUCUCCUACUCCUCUUCCCCCAUCUCCUCUUCCUUCUCCUUCUCCCCCUCUCCUCCCCCUCCCAUCUCCUUCUCCUCCCCCCACCUCCUUCUCCUCCUCCUUCUUCUUUUAAAUAGAGGCAGGGUCUUGCUUUGUUCGUCUUAAACUC
rnacentral:lncRNA from 1 species